UUCUUUUUACCAAUAAGUAUUAUGAAAAAUAAAUUUGACUGCGGUAAGAAGAUGGGUUAUAUUAUAAAUACAACGAAUGUAAAAAAGCCAAAGGCAAGCUAUCCGAGUCUGUAUCAAUUGAAACAGAUCGAAUGCUAUAAUUGCAUUAGUUCAUAAAUGGACAUGCAAUAUUGAUCGUCCAUAUUAAUAUGGAUAUGAAAAUUGCUUUUCUCAAUGAGAUUUUAGUCUUUGUAGAAUAACUUUAAAAAGGCUAGGAUAAGACCUCAGCAUUGCUCAAGUCCAGAAGAUUAUGUCAUUGCUUAAGUCCAGAAGAUUAUGUAUGAAAUUUUAUAACAAGAAGCAUGGAGAGCAAAUUCAUAUUACAUCAGAAAAUCUUGGGAGAAUACACACUUGCCAAACAAAAGUUGAUUAAUUUGAUAGCUUGACUCAAGUGAAAACAAAUAAAACCCAUGGCCAAGUUACUCCCCCAAGGAGUUAUUGCAUCUCUAUAUAAGCUCAUCAGCCUCUCCUCUUCUGCCAAUAUCUUUCUUUGUUUCUGCAUUCCUUCCCUUGUUGAUCAAGAUCAUGGCACGUCCUUCCGAUCUUGAUCCUCGGGGUCUUGAUGAAGAUCUUGUGCUCGUUUCUUAAGAAUUCCCUUCAAGUGGUCACAGAUCAUCAGCUGCGGAGUCGGUAGCAAAGAGGCCGGUGACUCUCCAACGGCGCUGUCACUAUCUAUCAUGGGCCGUCCCUUUAUCAUAUCAACUUCCCCCUCUUCGUUCAUCAUCACCAUGUUACAUGGAAGCUUCCCGGCGUAAAAUUUUCUAUCAUUCUUUUGAUGCCUGUACAGAGAGAUCCCAUUAAAGUACUAGCUAAAAUUUGACAAAUAGUAUAUACUGACCAAAGUUUCAUUUUGAUUAACUAUCUUAUCAGUCGUUUUGAUUCUCAUACUUUGAGAUGUAUGCCUAGCAAGGACGUAACCUAACUUGUAUUAAGAUUUUUUGUUACAAUUGGUUCUUUAUGGACGAAAAUUUGUCUAAAUAACAAAGUAGUCUUUCCGGUAAAAGUGUGUCCGAAGGAAAACCCUAGCUUUUGUUAAUCCUAACCCAUCACCUUCUAUGAAAAUCUUAACAGAAGUUAGGCUCCAUCCUUAUUGGACAUACUUCUCAAAAUCUGAAGAACUAAAUAACUGAAUAAUGUCGAAAUCUUUCACUGUAAUGCAUGGUAUACCUAUCGAAGACCACCCAUGUCGCAUGAAGGGUUGUAAUUUGCUCAACAACCAGCAGCCGUGAGGGAUAACCCAUUAUAACUUUCUUCUGGGGAAAAACCUGCAAUUAACAUUCCAUACACAUGCAGAAUGUUAGACGAGCAUAAGUAUAUAUAUAUAUAUAUAUAGAGCUCCAUCGUUAACUAUACCCCAUAUUUGUUGCAAAGGUCCACCACUUUUUGAAGCUUUAGAUAUUUGAGGUCGCUUUUCCACUCAUUUUUCUCUUUGACAAAUGACAAUUCUUCUAGUCCCACCGGCCAAACAUCCAGCCAUGUCUUGGAAGAGACUGCACAUUUACAAUCACCACCCAAGUAUUCCAUUUUAUAUACGAAGCAAAACCUUGUUUGGAUUAAAGUAAAUAGCCAGCUAUAGAAGCAUGACAUGUAAAUAAAAUCAAGGAAAAUUCUAGAGAACUUCGUCUUUUUAUGUCAUUUGUGUGUAAUUCCAUGAAAUAUUGAAUAAUCAAUUGUAAAUUAACACAUCAACACCUACACUAUGUGGUCUAAUUAAAAAUCCAAUACCCUUAAGCUUUUGGGGUGGCCGAAGUACUAGAGAGGGUGAGUAGGGAAAUGAGUUAGGAUUAGGCUAGGUCAAUGGUUCGAUUUCCUUCCACUAUAUAGCGUUAGGCGAUUUUUGUGGUGCAGGCUUGUUUUAUUACGUACUCAACUAGAAUUAAAAGCUCAAGAUUGCCAUGCAUUUAGAUCACUCAUAUGCAUAUACUAAAGAUUAAUGGAUUGAGGAUACUAGAAUCACAGUACUCACGGGGAAUAUUAAGCCAUGGCAUGACACCAAGAAGAGUGACAGUAGAGCCAGCGUUGAUUACAUUCUCAAGGGCCCAUUCAAGCGGCUCCGUCGUGAACUCUUUCAUCCCAUCCAUGACGAUGAGCACAUGUUUUGUAAUGUUCAUCGACUCUGAUGACCCGUUCGGCAUACGAUAUGUUGCCAGUGCUCUGUUGUUCCAGCUGACAACCGAUUGUCGCAUUAUUAUUUUCUUCUUCUUCCCUCCUCUUUUGAAGAAAACAACCAUAUUAUGUAAAAGUUAACAAUUUUUUUAAAACUUUACUAAGCCGGCUUAGUUCUUGUGCCAAUCUUCAACAUAGAGAGAAGAAAAAAAAAAAUUGAUCAAGUACCGAAAUCGGAAUUGUUACAAGGGCUCAACAUUUCUUAAAUAGAUCCCAACUUUGUCAUGAGGGAAAAACUAAACUCAGGGAUUGAUCAAACCGAGGAGUGUACAUAGUUAUAGUACUUUGACACAAACAAAGAUACGUUGGCAAUCUACUGUCAUGCCUAGGAGUAUAGGAUUUCACAAAUUUUGGUUUUCCCUAGAUUAAUAUAAGAUGCUCAUUCCUAAAUCUUAUCUCCAACCUCUAACCUAAUUGACUAAUUGAUGAGCCGGGGCCUAUUGUUACUAGGAAGUUGUAGGCUCACCAACAAUUAUUAUAGUGAUCAUGUCAAAGUCUUUGUCCUGUUCUUUUUCAUGUUUCGAGCAUACGCAUGUGUCUUCUCCUUUGUGGAUUUUAUGUUGGAUACCGAUGACAACUUUCAUUGGUUGGCCAAAGCACCAAUAGUUUUCUUUUCUUAUCCAAAUUGCAACAUUACUCCAAGAGAAGUAACGUCAAGCCCAGUUAUCUAGUUUUUUUCUUCUUCUUGUUUUGCAUACUCAACCUAAGCAUUUUGUAUUAGUAAUAAUGCUACAAAGCACUAUAUUUUGUUUUAGAAAUUGCACCCGAAUUAACGAGUGCAGAUGACAACUUUUUUGGUGUGUUAAUAACAGCUCCCUAGUUUAAAGGGUUAGUAUUAAGGCUUUAUGGGUGAAACAAGAAAUCAAUAUAAUCGAUGCUAAGAAGCUAGAACUGGUGUGUAUGAUUGGCAUGAAAAUGGGUAUGUAACACAAGCAGAUUCAUUUCACAUGCUGGUGGUAUAUGACUACAAAAGUGUUUUCUGCUUCUUUUAUUAGAAAACUUGAGCACAUAUCGAGAGUUGUUUUUGACCUUCUUUAAACAACAAUAAUAAGAGUGCUAGUAUAAUACUGCAAUAGCAAAAUUAGUUACGUUUACAUUCUCUAAGACCAAACCUUUGUGUGUAAGCAUUAAAGUGGUUUGGAGUCCAAUAAUGGUGAGUGUCGAGUUCACAUGCCGUUCAAGAAUGAACAAGUUACCUUAUGGAAAAUCAUUCCCUCCUUCCCUCCUUCCCUCCUUCCCUUGUAAGUAGAAACUCCUACAUUCCUACCAAUAACAAUAUGAUAUGUGUAGAAGUUUUUCUUUUUGUGUUUGUAGACAUAGAAAUUUUAGUGAAUUAAAAAUUCACUAAUUUACUUUCAAUAGUCAAAAUUCAAAAUUUGGCUAGUCAAAGAUAACUAGAAAAUAUGUGGAUCCCACACAAAUACACGUGGCACAUGACUCACGCAGACAAAGGUGUGCACCGGAGAUGACACAUGUUAGCAUCUAAGAGCUUCAUCAAUCCAAUGAAAUCAUAUGCCAAAAAGGAAUAAAUUAUCCUUAUUUGGUCAUCUUCCUAAAUCACGAGUUAAUUUCCCUAAAUGAAAGAUUUUGACGUAAUUAACAUCUAAAGUAAAUCAAUUAGCUCAAAUUAAAUCAAAUUAGAAAUCAAUCCCACAAAUCAAGGGAUUCAGAUUGGGGAUUCCAAACCAAGACCCAAUUCUUUUCCUAUAAAUACUAGGCUCAUAUUCGCGAGAAAGGACCUUCACCUCACUUUGUUUCAUUUUGGCUCAAUUUGGGAGUUUUUGUUUGAUUUGGGUUUAAUCGAGCCCAGUCAACCGGCCCACUCUGAUACCAUGUUAAAACUUCAGAGGGACGAACUUUUGGCCCAUCACUAACAAUAUUGAUAUUGUCCCCAACUUAACCACCUGUUUAGCAGGUGUAUGGUUUGUACAAAAAUUCUCAAUGUUAUUAGAAGUGAAACCAUUUAUUAUAUGGAACUUUCUAUUUUGUUAAGUUUCCGAUGCGGGACUCGUGUUCUUGUCUCAUUUGUCGCAAGAUUUUCGUUUUUACAGUGUUCUUGAUGAAUUAUUUUUGCACAUGUGUCAAACUGUGAUUUGCAAGCCCGAUGUCAAAGUUUCAAUGGCUAUCCAAGUCAUGAUUGCCUUUAGGAAAGGUAAGUGGUUAGUUCCAUACAUGUUACUUAUGUCAUCCCUCUUAUUCUUUGAGAUUUCUUGUGAGAUUUCUAUGCGUUUGAAUCUGUAUCUCCUCCAUACACUUAGGGUUCCGUUUGAAUAUAUUCAAUUCUCCAAACCUCCAAUCAUAUUCACAUUGUGACUUGGAAACAAGUGGUUGGUGAACUUCUGCCUCAAGGCUAUUGAUAAACAUGGCUUAGUUUCGUGCCGCCAUUGAGAAGAUGAGGGGAUCAAGUCUGCAGGUGGAUAAGUAGCAAGAGUGUGGACUAGGUCCUGCAAUAUUUUGAUUGAUUGAUUUCUAGUUUUUUGAAACCCAAUAUGAAACUUGUGAUUAGUUGGUAAAUUGAUGAAAUUAGAGGUCAAUAUAAUUGUUUAUUUGAUAGAUAGUAGAUAGCUUUUGGCCCCUUUUAAGGAAAUCCUCUCACUGAAUAAAACAAAAGAAAAUUGGAUUGCUAGCUUUCUAUUCAUGUGACCCAAGAAUUUCGCUAUUUUGAUUUUGCUAGUGCUUGGUAUGGCAUGGCAACAGAUAAUUCAGAAUCUAAAUAGGUCCAGUCCAGGGGCAAAUCAAUAGGAAAUGCUAUUUGCUUUGUAAGAAUAAGAAUAAACUUCAAUGAAAUGAAAGAGUUUCGUAGGGAUUGUCUUAAUCAUCAGAUAUCAUUGAGAAAUAACAAGUGUUAUCGAACGAUUUCUUACAAUUCUUCCCAGUAUGGAACCGAUAACAGAAAAUGUUGCAAGGUCACUCGUGCAAGCAAAACCAUAUAUACUCCAAAAGAGGUUGUCGCAAUUGAAACAGUAAUUCAUUCCACAAGUAAGCAGAAAAAUUUUUGGCAAAAGAAAUAAAAAGAUGCCAGAUAAAAUAUAUGAACAAACUCCUCUUCUAUUUUUCUGUUCAAAUGAAAUAUUUGAACAAGCUCAUCUUUUACAUUUGCGGCUGAGCUAGAGAAAGCUUUAGCAAGCAGAAACCUGGAACAGCUCACCGUAAUGCCGCCGCCACAGGACGCAUAGAUUUAUGACUACCACCAGGAGGGCUGACCUUUUUGCAUGGUGAUGAUCCCACUCUCUUCCUUCUCUUGUUCGAAGAACCUUCACUUUGAGGCCCGACCAUGGCAGCAAGAAGUUGGCUUCCCCUGUCCCUUGUCAAACUCUUUUUUGAAAGAUAUCUGAAAGCUUCAAUUCUCUUUGAAUCAUCUACAUCAUUGUUGGAAGGUCUUUUACAGAGCGCAUUGUCUGCUGACUUCAAAUGAUCACUUCGAAUAAUAUUGUUCAAUGAUCUUUUGCAGGCCACAUUGUCCACUGACUUGGAAUGAUCGCGCGGAAGACAAUAUAUUGGCUCUGAAAAAUUCAAUUCGACCUCAUUAAGUUAGUUGCAUUCAUAAAUUUCAAGGGAAAGGUAAUAAAAUCUUUUGAUCAGAGUGUAUUUGCUUACCUGGAGACUCAAAAGAAGGCAGAUCAGGACUAGGAGAUCUGGGUGGUGUCAUAGGAUGGAGAUAAACUUUAGGAGACCUUUUAUGGCACCUAUUUCCACCAAGAGACGAUGUACUACAUAUAUUCUCAUUGUUGUGUGAUUUUCCAUCAAAGGAGUUACUUGCCCUCCCUGGAGUUGAAGCAUCAAUCACAGCAGCACUAUCUUUAGUCUCCUUGGAACAACCAUCGGCUGCAUCUCUAGUGUCAAUGACCUCAACCUCUUCACAUCUUGCUCGAGGCAACGAAAGAGUAAUUCUCUCAUGAGCAUCUCCGGGUUCAUUGGCAACACAACAAUCAACAUUGUUUACACUAGGAGAUAAAAUACUGACACUCUCGACAUUCUCUAGGACUGACUUAGGUGAUGUAUUCGUCAUAGCUGGAUCCAAGCAUGGCUUUAGUGAUUCCACUAUGCUAGAAAACCAAGGAGUACCCUGCCUUGCAUAGAACAGAAUGUAGGCCUCCUGUGACAGAACAAAUUCUUCUUGAACCCUAGUGACCUACAAAAAUAACAGUGGAACUUUUAGUGUAAAUCUUAAUACUACUAUAUUUGAGGGUAAAACCUGAUGGAAACAAUCCAAUUACCAUAGAUCAUCAUUACCGUUUAUUGCAUGUAAACAUACAACAAGAACAAAGAUCAUAUCAUAAAGAUCGUUUAUACAAAAACAAAUGAAAGAAGCCAUGAAUGGCAAGACAAUCACUUCCACACACCAGCUUCACAAGAAUUACAAAGUCAUGCAGAUAAAACAGUUACAAUGAAUUGUUUAUUACGGAAUGCAUAAAGAAAAUAAUUACCUUUGAGUCAUCCAACCUAUGCCAUGUAUCUGGAGAUGACCGAAUGAAGCAAAAGUAAUGUCCAGAAGUAGAUGAGAACCCAACAUGCUCCACAAUUGCAUAAAGUUCAUACUUCAAUUCCACCUAUUGCCAAGAAACAGGAAAUUAGAACUAGAGAGACCACACCAUUCUUUUUCUUGAUUAAAAUUGGAGGGAAUCGAAUCUUGGAUCUACCCUAAUCCUAACCCAUUACCCCACCAUUUACAGAUAACCCCCAAGGGCUUGAGAAACAACAGCCAUUUAAACAUAGCUAAAACACAAACAUGACAUUCAGCUAACCUUCAUUUUUAGAUCAUUUAACCAUUAUCAUGUGUUAAAAAAACCUUGCAUUUCUUAUAAGUUAUAACUGAUACCAAUUUGAUUAUGAAGAAACUAAAGGCAGCAAUCACAUUACUGUUGGUCCCACUGGUUGACUAAUAGUCCAAAUCCGAAGGAAAAUCAACAUAUUCUGUGUAAAAAAUAAUUAUAAUAAUAAUAAGCAGCAACUCACAUUAUUGUCACUGCCACUGGUGUAGGGCUUCAAGUCCAACUCCAAAGGAAAUUCUACAUGUUUUUCAAUCUUCUCAACAUGAGAUCCAUCAGUCUUAAAUCUCUUCAGAUGAAAUGCAGCAACUGGAGGGGCCUGGUCCACCACAAGCUGCUUCUCCACUGAUACUUCUUCCUUGCAGUUCUCACAUGUAAACUUUGUCUCCAAGUCAUUGAUAGUUUCUAUCUUAGUGAAGGACUCCAGGGCCCUUUGGAGAGUCUCUGCAUCUUCAAUCUCCAAACUCAGAUCAAUCAGAGGUUCGUAAGUGUCAGAACAGUGACCACAAUUGCAACAUCGAAGCUGAAAGUAAUUCAUACACACAAAAAUCAAUAAGAAUUAUAAUAAAAUAUUGAUUUUCCAUCAAAUUUAACCAUAGCAGAAUGAAUCAUGGCAAUCAGAUAUGGAGUCAUACUUUGCUUAGGAGACGACCACCAAAAACCCUUUCCACAAGAUUAUGGUCUUGGGCAGAUGGACUCUCCUUUUCCAACGAAUCCAAACAAGAUUUCUCAAGUUUGUCUAAGAAGCAUUGCAAGAACUCAUGGGCAUCUUCUUGCUGGUAUCUUUGGAAGAAAGAUGAGAAAUCUAGUAGCAUGAGGGUUAAGAAUCACAUUCGGAUGUAAACUUCUCAGGGUAAAACUACAGAAUUUUCAAAGCUUCAGGUAGAAUUACAUAUUUCACAACAAAAAUUAGUGCAACUGCUCAAUCAAAAUCAAUCACUUGUAGGGGCUUCAUAAGUUACUCUCUUUUUUUCAUUCAAAACAAAGAAAAGAACAAUCACAAUCACAAUUUUAUGCCCAGAAAUCUCAACACGUAUGAUCAAAAGGAUACGAUUCAAAUUGUCGACAAGUUUCCAUGGUGAAAUAACUCUUCCUGAAGAGGCUACUGAAAGAUCAACAUGGUCGUGAAGAGCACAAAGAACACAGAAUCCUUCACUACCACCUACACAAUCCCAAUUUCAGAUUUUAAAUUAGUACAUUUAUUAAGAAAUCAGCAAAACUAACUAGCUGCAUAAAGCUUCCAACAAUUAAGAAAAAUAUCAGAUAAGAACAUAAAGCAAACGCAAUAGAAACCAAGGCCUUACGAUCACAGGGCAUGGAAUGACUGCAAGAAUGAAGACCCUCCACGAGUGGCACAGUGUGCGUGAAGCAUUGCAGAAUUGCAUUCAUAAAGCAUGUGUUGCCUAGAUUUGCAAGCCCUGCACCCUGCAACACCAAAACGACAACAAAACUUAACAUCCCAAAAUUACUUAGACUAAAAUUAAACGCAAAAUGAAUAAUAAUUAUAAUUUUUAAUGUAAAAUAAAUGCAAAGUUUCAAACAGGUUCAAAGCAAAGGGGCAUACCACCAUAGAGGGCUUUGUUUCACAUAUUGAAAACUGGGAAUCCGAGGAAAUCACUGAUUCCUUGGUAGAAUUCGACGACCACCGAGAAGACCAAGAAGGUGCGGAAGACGACCACCGCGAUAGUCCUGAAGACUCCGAAUGUGGAUCCGAUUCAUAAUUUGAUAAAUCGUUACCAACAAUUUUGAGAGGCGAAGGCGGUGAUGGUUCAUCUUCUUGGCCUUCUUCAACAGAUGGUGAAGACCCAGUUGGGUUUGGCAAAGAAGAAUCCGAAGCCAUAUCGUCUAGGGCUUUGAGAGGUGAAGAUGGCGAAGACCCAUUUGCAUUUUCUGCGAUAGAAACCAAAGCAUGGUCAUCUACGGCUUCCUUUUGUGAAAAUGGCGAAGACCCAUCUAGGGUUUCUGCAAGAGCAGGCAUUAAAGCUGGAGAGGUUGAAUUUCCCACUUGGGUCUUCGUGAGAAGUGAGUCUGGAGGCAAAAGGUUGGCUUCUGAGAGAUGAAUUUUCCACUGAAGCUCUUGAGAUUCUAGAAAUGGGCUUUUCAACGAACUGAAAAUUGAAUCUGAAAUUGGAAUUUGGGGUUGGCUCCACGAAUUAGGAGGGAAAUGGGGAUUUGGGUUUUGAGAAUUUUGCUUUUAAAAUAUUUUUGGGGGUUUCGGGAAGUUGAAGCUGUCGGUUGAAAGGAGGGAAAGGCGAAAAAAAGUGUUUCGAAAAUUUUUGGGUUUUGGAAAAGGAGGGAAAACUCCAAAGUCUCCUCCAAUUUGGUACCAAAGUUCAGAAAAGAGAGGGAAGAGAGAGACGGGAAAGAUGUCGUUUUUCUUUAUUUUCAGAAGUUUCAUGUGUUUUUUUUUUCUUGGUUGAAAAAAGAAGUUGCAUGUUAUGUUAGUGUAGUGAAAUAUGGGUGAGGAAAAUUACAAUUAAUUGGUAACAAAGGGGCUCAUUUGUAGGAUUUCGUAAGUUUUGAUAUCCGUUUGUAGGGUCUUACAAGUUCAUGUAUGAAUUUGAAAUGAUACCCAAAAUUUGGUGUUUUAUGUAAUUGAUCUUAGAAUAUAUUAGGAAAUAAAGAUAUUUAUUAAAUGAGAGUAAUAUAGUAAAUUAAUAGUUUUUAAUAUUAAAAAGAUAUAUAAAAUAAAAUAAAAAAGGAGAACAUGGGUCCUAUUUUCAUGGACACAAAUAGACCCAUUUUCUCUUUUUUAAUUUUAAAUUAAAACAAUAAGAAUAAAUAAUAAAUAAACGCAAUUGGCACUCUUGAGCAUGUGCUCAAGAGCUAGUAUGUGUAUUAUUUUUUAUUAUUUUUAGAAUAGCUAGAAUGUGUAUUAAACAUGGCGAUUUUAAAAUAUAUAUAUAUAUAUGUCGCCAUAUUUUUUUGAAGUGCAUGGAAAAAUGAAGUAUUUUUUUAGCAAUACAUACAUCUAUCUAUCUAUCUAUCUAUAUAUAUAAAGCAAAAGGCAGAGAAUGGUGAAACAUUCAAAAUACCAAAAAAUGCCCUUGGUUAAUGCAAACAUUAAGAAUUGAAAUUAUUAAUUAAAUGAGGAUAAUAUGGUAAAUUCACAAUUUUUUGUAUUAAAAAAUUAAAAUUAAAAGAAAAUUCAGAUAAUGGGUCCUAUUUUUAUGGAACACAAAUAUCCAUUAUUUUUUUUAAUUCUAAAAUAAAUUAAAAUUUUUAUAAAAAAAAACCUCUCGCAUGCGCGGAAGCGCGUGCAAAGAAGCUAGUACGUUUAUAAUACAUGAAUUCACUAAAUACCUUUUCCGAAAGAUGGAAAAAAUCUCUAGGCAUGUUUGGGAAUGUUUCUACAGAAAAUGUUAUAGUCAUAACCACUUUUAUUUUCUUUUCUUUUUUUUUGGUUUGGCACUUUUACUAUAAGCAUAUCCUUUAUUAAAAUAAAAAAUCUAAGCUCUUCUUUUUUUAAUUUUUUGGUCCGAAAAAAUCCAAGCUCUUCUAUAACUUACUUGAAGUUUACAUUCCCGAAGAUGAAAAUGCAGAAAUUUGUUGUGACCCCCAUUGUGGAUUGACAAUCACAUAUGCAUCUCUAAAAAUUAUUGCAAAAGCUGGCCUAAGGAAUUUUGAGAAUCAAUGUUAAUUGACUAUAUCUAUCAAAUUGUAUUGGAUUGAAUGAUUUUAACAACAUGAAAAUGAACAAGUGAUCAAAAUCUCAAGGACAAAUCAAAGUUUUAACAGAAUACAGUAUCCUUUGCCUUGCUCUCUUGACACAAAGCAGUAAUGUUAUGGUGGUUUACAGAAACAAGAACGCAUAUGAUCAAAUCUCAGAACAGUACCUGUGCUACAAAAUAAAACACCAGCCACUCUUCUUAAGCCUGGAGAAUUUUGAUAAGUCUUAUUUGUCUUUAAAAAAAAUUUAUGAACUCUUCUUUACAAUCACUACAUAUGAUAAUGGCUGGUGUACUUUAACAAAUAAAGACAACGCAUAUCAACAUUAGAGGAUUCUGUCCUGAAGAUCCGUCAUUAAAUUGGAUGCCAAGGAGCUAAGCUUCUUCCCGGUCUCUCCAGCAAUGUUUUUUAGGGAAGAGAUAUCCUGUUGUGCCUGGAAAGGAGAAUACACAAAGAUUAAACCGAAAUUAGUUAAACAAAAGGCUGGAAACUCAAAAAGGAAAAGAAGACUAAUUUCUGAUCAGACAUGGCCAAAAUAUGAUAAACAUAUGACAAAAAAAUUGAAUUCCAAUGACUCAAAAACAACUGGAAAUUUCUUAUAUGCAAGGCAUACCUGAAAAGACAGUCGGUUGAUAAGGUCACUUGCCGUAAGAUCAAGGGGCAAAUUAUCAUCCCUGUCGCCAAAUAGAUCAGCACUUGAGAUGGCAGCGGAACCCUGGAAGUAGCAAGAAAUUUGUGUUAGUUUUUUUUUUUUUUUUUUUUUUUUUUGGUGUGGGGUCAAAGUUUCACAUUUGAGUCUAAUAACUUCAAGCACCCACCACGCUUCAGCUGAGAUAGUUUAAUGAAAGUGAAAGAAAAAAAACGAAGCAGCUGAGAUAGUUUAAUGACAGUCGAAGAAAAAAAACGAAGCAGCAUUCGUGUUCCCAAGUUAUCAUGGUAAUGUCCGGAAUCAGAAAACUACAAACACAAUUGUAUGAACUGAUUUGUAUGCCAAAGAUGUGUUGAUGUUGCAAAAGACAAUUAUCUUUGAUUUUAAUUAUUUCCUCGGCAUAUACUCCGACAAAUAUGAGGUCUAGCUGAAUGAAAGCUACAGGGCAGGACUUCAAUAAAUAAAAAAUACUAAAGACAAAAGGGAAUUCAAAUUCAAAAGAAAUUCCCAGUUGAACUGGGUUUAGUUGAUUAUGAUAGUAAUGAUACAUACCGAGAACUUCUGCAAGGAGGCUUGAGCAUCAACAUCAGCAGAUUUGUUCUGAUCACCAAAAAAUUGUGCGGAAGAGAUAGAUUUUGCAUUUGUGAAUUUCUUCCUUGCUUCAUCAGUUUCCUGAAUCUGAAAAACAAUAAAACAUCAAUAUAAAGAAACACACACAAAAUAACAUGAACAGAAAUGCAAACUGGUUAUCAGUGUGCUGAACCAUGACAUAAAGCAACUCUGUUAUAUGUCACAAGUUGGUGUCUCCAUCAGCCAAUAUGCAAGUGCAAAAAGACAAUUGCAAAAAUAACCAAAAGAGCAAACACUAUAAGACAGAUUUUUUAGAUUGAGGAAACCACCAGCAGCAUACGUCUUCCGAAAACGGGCUAAACAUUCCCACAGUAUCCAUCAGGACUGGAUAUCAUGCAUGAGAAGGAUAGUACAUUCCCAUUGUCAUAAUGAUUCUUUAAAUAACGCUACCAUUUGAUAAAAUAAGGCCCCACUAUUUGAUAAAACAAGGCCUUACCAUUUGAGGCAUAUGGUCAUUGCCACUUAAAAACAACAUAAAAUUGGAAUGGAGCAAACGAAAGUACUCCUCGCCAAGCAUACAUGAACCAUUUAAAGGAUAAUGUAACUCACUCAACAAUCUCAUGUUCUUUUGUUUAUUUUUUAAGACAAUAAUCUGCCUAUUAGAUUACGAUUAUAAAAACUUCAAAUUGUAGUGACUGCCUGAAAAGGAAUGUUUUUACUCCAGAACUUAGAUAACCAAAUACAUGUAAUACGUUAGGAUGCUUUCUCACCCAUGGGGGAAAAUUUGCCUACUCGUUUACUUCUGAGUAGAAUUUCUGGACCUUACAGAUUUUAGGAAUAUGAAAACUGUUACACAAUACAAAAACUCCAUUUGGUUGCUUCCCAUAUUACUAAUAUCAAGCAAACGGACUUGAGCCUCUUUAGGAUAAACAUAAAGCAUUUCAAUUAAUUAGUGGUGACCUUAAAAACAAUGAAUGGCCGGAAAAUAAAGAAAAAGAACAAACACUCAGAAACUACAAAUGUGUAAAUUACUCCUUUUAAUGAACAUACAGGAAGCAAAAACAUCACUUCAAUUAAUUAGUGGUGACCUUAAAAGUUGAAUUUCACUGAACAAUGUUGAAUUAAAUGCUGGAGUAAUAACUAUCCAGACAGUUCAGGGGCAAGUUUGAAAAGUUCAGAGGCAAGUAUUAACAAAUUUCUUUAAAAAAUAUUUUCUAUGAUAUACGAGCAGAUUUGUUAUAGACACAGCCCCAAUUUCACAAAGUUUUGGUAAAUGAUUCCUUCCUCAUCCAUAUCAACCUGCAGUAUAACUACAGAGAAGAACGAUAUAUUCAUCCUCAUCUAGGAAUUGAGGUGUUCUGAGUUUGAUUAGAAACUUAAAAAUGCAUUACCCUUGUGACAUCAAUGGAGGCUUUUGCAAAUACAAUUAAAACAUUAAUAGUAAAAUAAAACUAAACAGUAAAACUAUGAAAAACAAACAAGUAGACAGUUUUCACCCCACCAUUAUUUAAACUGUAGCAGCUUUUUAUUUCCUUCUAAACUCAGUUUUGUACUUUACUAUGUUCCCCUCUUUAGAUAAAUUUGUUUGUUUGAACCGUUUCUUAUAGCAAAAGGGAUUUCAGGGUCUUCAAAACUUAAACAAAAACCUGAAGCUUGUCCCUUUUAUGAUACAAUAGAUUUCAUGUCUGACCAUUGUUUCUCAUCAUAGUAAUACAGUGUCUAUUUUCUUCUUUCUUCUUUCUUCCUUGACCAGAUGAUAGGAAAAGCUUAGCCUUUUUGGUUCUCUUAAAUUUGUCACCCUAACACUUCUAAAUCAUGUCAAGCCUUAAAUCCUGGUGUGAAAAGUGCAAUAUAGAUUAGGGAAUUGGAGCCUUAAUUUUUUUCACAUUGUAGCAGGUCCUAAAUUAACGAUUUAUUUCUAAAGAACUAAUAUUUAUUAGUGGGCAAGUAACAAGAAACAUAAAAAACAAAUUAGUUCCCUUGGGAAAACUACUUAUAUGUGAAUGUCAUUGGUCGAAUAUAACUUACUUGAACUUUGGAGGAAUUUGAACUAGUUCUCUUGGGAAAAUUACUGUCCAUUCCAAAAUCCGCAAAGAAAUUUGACGACUUUGGUGGAGCAAUAUGACUAAUUACAUGAGCGCCAUUGGGAUUCGUCUCAGGAUUUUGGAUAAUUUCUACAUACUCAAAACGAGACACAAAGGACGAGCCAGCUGUUGUUGGAGUGCUGUUAGUUGAGGAAGGCACUGGUAUAACAGGUUCUUCAGGUUUCUGAUCGUACAGGCUUUCACUUGACUGCAUUUGAUAAAAGUUAUCUCGCUAAGAAAAAGGCAUUUUCCCUAAAAAUAUAAUAAAAUAGGAAACAGAACUCAAAGAUACCAUUGCUGAUAAAUAAUUUAUUCUAAGCGAUAAUAAGAAAUCACAACCUUUGUAGUAAGUUUGCGAGCACCAAGCCCCCCAGUCUUCCCAGUUUUCUUAGCACCAAGAGGCUUCUUGACAGUACUGGUAACAAAUGUAUGGGGGGCUUUCGGGGGAGCAGAGACUUCAGGGGUUUCUUUCCUUGCUAAAGAUGUUUCUUUUGGAGCUUCACUGGUCUUGACAUCAGGAAGCCCGUUAGAUGCUUGUCCUGACUGAGAUGCAACAGGUGAUGACGGAAGACCUGCCUCUUCUGCCAUACUUUUGGCAACUUCUUUAGAAAGCAUCUGCCUGUAUAAAUCGGCAGCUCUUGAUGUAUAUUUUGCCUCAAUUUUGCCUCCAUCCGUCCAUCCAUGCUGCUUAAAGAAAACCUGUGCGCGGUUGUUUCCACCGAAGCUCAUCGUUUUAAGCUGUUCAGGAGUCCAUGAGUCUAAAUUUGUGGAUCUGCACAAAUUAAACAAAUCAAUUAUAAGAUUGUCAUUGUCGCGAUUUUGCUUUUGCAGUUAUUUCUAAAGAUUAAACCCAAAUGUGAAUUUCAAAUAGGAUGCAUUAUUAAAUCUAAAUGAUCUGACAAUCAUAUUCAACUCAACCUUUGAAAAAUACACAUGAUUUUACUUGUACAAUCCAUUAAAAAACAAAUUAUUUAUCAAGAAAGUAUCUUUUAUGUAAACUUAGAAUCAUUACAUGGAGAAUAAAUCUAGGUCCAAUUUCAUUACAUGGAGAAGUGAAAUCUGAAUUCAAACUAUCAUAUCCACCCCUGAUGCUAAAAUAAUCUCAACAAUCGAAGGUGGGGAAAGAUGACGGGGGAUGGAGGGGAGGGCCAAGGGGUGUGGAGACAGGAAGAUUCUGAGUGAGCGGGGGAUUGGGGUAGGGAGGGGGGAGAGUGGAUUGUUUGGGAAGACCACAUUGAGGAGGGGAAAUGGUUGGUAGGCAAGAUCGGGCAGGAGGGGGGUGGGGGAAGGUCGUCAUCUGGAGGAAAGGGAUGUGCUCUGAGAACAUCCUUGGAAAGGGCUCGUCUAGGAAGAUCGGGGAAGGACGAGGGGAAAGUAACAGGAAAGCUUUUCCAUUAAGUGGAAAGUAACAACGAAUAAACGCAUAAGUCAUUAUGGAAAGAACUGCUAAUAAUUUUGAAUCACAUAAAACUAAUGGCUUCAUUGCAGUCGUAUGGGUGCGUGUGUGUGCAACUUCUUAUCUACCUUUGAAGUCUUCCUAAGAAUGCAUGCAACAGUUCCCUUGUUUGCCUUAUAGUUUCAGUUGUACUUCAGAUAUUAAGUUUGGGUCAAAUUGUAGGACUUAUACUCCAUCUAGCUCAAACAGAUACAAAGAACCACAAGAGGUGCUUUCCACAAAUCUCCUUUCUAUUAAAAGAACAAAACAGAUCACGGUUCCUAAAAUAAAGCAUAACCUUUCGCACUUCUGGCCCAAGUUUCUUGCUGCACCCUCCAUCCAAUCCCAUCAAACGUCUAUCUAAUUACCAAAUUCCUAAGAUUUAAUUAAUGAUACAAACUAUGACUCCGAUCCCCAACAUGUAACGUGAUUUCAGUUCCCUCUUAUUUAAAAACAUAACUUUGAGUUCUCGUAACAUAAAUUAGAUUACAUCACAAAAUGCACCAAUAGUUAAAGCAAUAAACAUUCAAUCAUAUGUACUCAAAACAGCUACUCCAACACCCAAAAUAUAACAAAAUACGGAUUGAGAGAAUUAAGGAUCCUUACUGCCACAUGAAACAUACCUAACAAAGCUGAUGUGAACGCCGAGACUGCGGUGAGCGGCCGAGCAAUCGAUGCAGAGAAAGAUCCCAUAUGUAACCGAGGCCCAAGUUGGGUUCUUUGCAUUGCAAUCGAAACACAUCUGGAGCAAAAACCCACAAAACGAAAAUCAAAACUCAAGAUCCAAGCACAGAACACAGAUCUGAAUCAGAUCUAACAGACCCAUAUCGAAUUUUGCAUCAAAAUCAAAAACCCAUAUAAAAGUUUUAAGAAUAACCCAAACAAAAAAGGCAAAAUGAUAUUAAAAAAACAAAAGAACCUUGUUUUCUGACUUUGCUUUCAGUUUUCUGAAAACAGCGUUCUUGUCAUUGAAGAUUUCGGACGCCAUUGGAGAGACAAAUCCUAGAGAAAUUAGCGAGAACAAAUGAAUCCGAAGAGGUGCUUGAACACCUCCUCAGGCAAAAGAGAGAGGUAGAGAUGUGUGGAAAUGAAACCCCAAAUUGAUUUCAGGUUCUGUUUUUUGGUUUUGGUUUUUCGUUUUGUGAAAUUUUAAACGGAACCAUUUUAUUAGCAGUGGGUAUGAUACAAUGUUGUUCAAAUGACGAAACUACCCUUGAGGUUUUAAGGGUAGUUUCGUUGUUGUCCAGUAGUGUAAUUAUUUAUCUGAAUGAAGGGCAAACGUAAUUUGUCAUGUUACGUCCAUGCCUUUUUGGUGGCAACUGGCGGUUUACCAACCGUUAACGGCUGGGCUUAUAUAGAUUGGUCAAUCUGAACCACCCAGUUCCACAUUUCUUCAACCUUGAACUUUUUAUUUUUUUAAUCAUGCUUAAUUUAGUUCAAUCUUUCUAAUUUUAAAAGCCAGAAAAAGAAAAGAGAGAAAAAUCUAUCUUUUAUCUGUUUAUACUGUUUUAUCAAAUACAUAAUCGACAAUCCAUCAGAAAAUAAAAGAGAAACCUUAAUUAUCAGGAAUGGGUGUUGGAAUGAUUAUGAUUUCUUCUUCUCCUGUGUUUACUAAUUAUGAUUUCUUCUUCUCCUGUGUUUACUAACACAUAGGUAUUGGAAUGAUUAUAAUCAUGACUUCCCAUGUGUUUAUGUUACAUAAAGAACUAAAAUUUAUGUGGAUUCCAUGCCAAAAUUUGCAAUCGAAUACCGUCAAAUUAGGAAUAGGAUCAACUAGGAGUGGUUGAUUUGAUUUUUUUUUUUUUUUUUUUUGGUAUGAGUUGAUUUGAUUCUCAUUCCUUGAUUCUGCUAUAUAAGUUCCUAGUGUCAUGACUUCUCUCAUUCCUUAUAAAUAAAUUGGAAAAUAUGAAUAAUAACCUUAAAAGCAUAGUGAAAUUUUGUUAACACCCCUUUAAGCAUAAUAAACCUUAAAAUAUCAAUAUGUUGGAACCAACCCUUUAAUUUUUCCCCUCAAUAUUCCACUUUCACCCCUCAUAAAUAAAAAAUAUUAGAAAAUAAAUAGCUAGCAACCCUCACCGUUUCAAUCCCUACGUAAGCUAUUGACAACCCCUCCACACGGACGGCAUCUAUUCCCUCUUCACACUUCCCAACUAGCAAUAUGAAGGGCAUGUUUACGUAUCAGUAAUAAAGAAAGUAAGGAAUCGGAGAAUUUAGGAAUCGGAAAACUAUUGAAUCAGUAUGGGAAGAAUCAUUCUCAUUAAGCUAUUUACUAAAUAUAUGGAAUUAGUAAAGGAAUAGGGUUGAUUCUCAUUGUUAUUGUUUACUAACUUUAAUGAAUCAGAAUCCAAAUUAAUUUGAUUACUAAAAUGCCCAGCACAUUUUCACCACAACACAUAUAUAAUUCUCAAAUUGGUUAAGGAGACCAAACUAAUCUUGCAGCAAACCAGUGAGGCGGUGUAAACAUGAGGAAUCAAUAUGCUAAACAAGAUAAACAACAGGAGCCCAGUUCAAUGAUAAAGUUAAUAACACCUUUGUCCAGAGCCAAUUUCAAACGAAAAAAUAAACUCCAAUAAAUAUAUAUCUUUCACCUACGUAACUAGUAAACAAUCAAAUAAUAAUACCUGCAUAAUCUUCAUACGAUUAAAUAUAUGGAACUUCUUGGAACUGAGUUUUUAUUUUUUUUAGGGUAGAGCGUCUUGGAACUUUUUGGCGUGAGUUUUUUUUAUUUUUUAUUUUUUAGGGUUUGGGGUGUUUUGGAAUUAUGGUAAGGUUGUAAGGGUAUUUUUGAAAGUUAUUAAGAGAAAACAGGAAUGGGAAUCAAAUCAACUACUCCCCUUAGUUGAUCUAAUACCUUGUUUUGAGAAGAUAUGAUUACGGAUUUUGAGGUGGGGUCCACUUAUUUUUUCAUUCCUGAUUGCAAGUAAACGUAGGGGAAGUUAGGAAUGGAAAUCAUUCUCUUUCCUCCCAUACCCAUUACUGAUAUGUAAACAUGCCCUAAGAGUGAGUUUUUGAUUUAAUACUUUGUACUAGAGAUGGAAAAAAUGUACAUAAUUCUUUUUUCUUUAUAUUGAGCGUGUGUUUAGUUAGGCGUGGGCGGAACUUGGGGUGUGUAAUGUGAGCAAUUGCACAGAGGUCUAAUUUUAGAAGGGCCCCAAAUUAUAAUAUUGUUCAACAUAUAUAUAUAUAUAUUAUAUCAUAUAUUUGCUUUUAGUUAAUAUAUUCACAUCCAAAUAAAAACGUAUACUCGCUAUAUCAAUUCAUUUAUCUUAUAUUCCCAUAUAAUAUGUAACGACUCAUUCUAAUUUUUUUAUUGAUUUACUUAAAUCCCUAUUCAACCCUUAGGGACGAAACGUGACUAAGUAGGGCCUCGGUUAACCCUUCACCCAACCCUCCCCAUUUUACAAGCUUUCAAAUGUCAUGGUUUCGCUUUUUCAAUCUCAUAUUGUUGCUAUAUGAUGUACUGUGAACAAAUAAAGGGUGUAUUUUAGUUUAGUACUACGAAUAGUACACGUAUUUUGAGUUUUAAUAAUUUGGUACCUUAACAUUUUCAAAUUUUGCUUCAAUUCAACUUGUUAUACUCAAAAUGUCAAUAAGGCACACCCUCAAAAGCCCAAAGCAGACUAGGCCUAGCUCACUUAGGAAGUGACUGGCCCUCUCCAAAAACCCUAAAUCGGCUUCCCCUAAGAUUGCCUAGGCUCGAUUGAGACAAGGCAAGGUCACCCAAGCCCAUGCAACGACCAGGCACUAAGGCCUCACGCACCAAUCCUGAAGGGAAUAUGGUGGGAAUGGUGUUGUGUAGAAAUUUCUAAAAACUCUACAACCAAACUUUGAGAGUAUAAAUCACCUAGCAAGCCAUAUCUAAUAUGAAAUCAAAGUAAGAGCAGAAGCAUUAAAUAAACUAGGGAUUCAUGCAAGUCUCAUUUGGUCCCAAUCUUUAUAAGUAUAUGAAAGUGUGCACGAAAGACUCUCUAAAUCCUAUUUGAAAGAAAGAAAAGAUGUUCAUACCCUUGGAGUGAAUCUUGAAACCAAGAAUGGUGUUCAAUUAGAAGGAGUGAUCCCUUUAUUGUUGGCUCUCCCUUUGAUGUUGAUUCUCCACCUUGUAGCUCUCCAAAUAGGUACAAAGAUAUGCACCUCCCUAAAGCUCUUCACCAAUGAUUGAAUGGGAUGAGAGAAUGUGUAGAUAACAAGUGAAGAGUGGUGCUAGCACCCUCACUUGAUGUGAUAGAUUGAAGGGGUUAGGGAGAGAGAGCUUGAUGUUUUCUUUCUCCCAAUUUCACCAACUUGAAAAACCCUAGGAUGAUAGAAUUUCAUAUCUACACAUUUAUAGGAUAAAAAAUGUCACAAGAGUGACAAAAAUGCCCCUAAACCCUAGUGUAGCCACAUCCCCCUCCCCCAAAGCCCAUUUUCUCUUUUUUGUGUGUCAUCUUUUGCUAUCUUGGUCUAACACAUUAAUCCUAUAAUGUGUCACAUGUGUGCCUAAAUCCAUAUGGUCAAAUCCCUUUUGAAUUUCCAAGUCAUAUGGGACCUUUAAUUAAAGUUUCAUAACUUUAAUUGAAUAAUUAAAUUAAUCUAAUUUUUUUUUAUUUCUCUAGUGACUUGACUAAUUUCAUCACUCACUUGUCUAACGAGUGUUAGUCCCAGUCAUCCUUAGUUGACCGUGUCAAGUGUCGAGUCAACCGUAUGACCUUUGACUUUUGACUUUAACCUUUGAAUUUCACAUUGACUUUGACCAAGUCACAAAAUCAUUCAUUCUCUUCAUAAUUUUCCAAUCGAUUCCUUUUCUGUGUGCGAUCUUAUGGGUUCUAAUUAGCGAGGCAGUGGGUAUGAAUUAUUUACUCUGAAUCUAGUGUAAAUUGUAUCCCUCCUUAUAAUUCUCCCUAUUGGCAAAGGCUAAUUAUAAUUAGUCCUUAUAAGGCUUUCACAAGCCAUGAGUGACACCUAGCAGUAUGUCAUGGCUACCCAAGCUAAAAAGAAUUCAUUUAGAGAACCUAGUCAUUUUGCGAUUACAAUGCAAUUCGAUCCUUCUCUAAUUCAAUACUCUAUGUCAUAUUCUCGGGAUAUGGUAAACUUGUGUCAAAAUCCCUAAUAUAACAUCUCUAGAUUAUAUGAUUCAAUUUGAUGAAAUUGCAAACGUUCUUAUUUCAAUUUCCAUCCAAUACUUUGGCCAAAGAUUCACGAAUCAUAUCUUUAGAGUAUUCUCUCUUCUUACUAAGAGCAGAGGAUUCUUGUUGUAUAUUCACCUGUCGCUGCGUACAUGCUAAGAAUCCUGAGGAACACCUUUAGGUCAAAUAAUUUUGAUACGACCGUAUAGUGUUAUUAAAGAGGAACAACAUAUAUACAAGACAACUGUGAUGUCUCAGGUCUAAGGAUUAAUUUGCAUUAUCACAACUUAGAAUUCUUUGUUUGACACUUGUGAGUAAGACUUCCAUACAAGAAUUCUAUAGUUGAUCACAUUCAGCAGACUCCAUCUUCUAUAGAGCACCUACACAUCUGUCUCAGUGUCUUUACACGAAUGACAUACUCUCUUACUGCAUCUCCAAAGAUUUAUCAUUAUAAAAAAAAUUAAAAAAAAAUUUGCCACUCAAUUACUGUUAUCAUACAGAUUUUGAUCUAAUUAAAUUAGCAUGAAAGGGAUUCAUCCCAGUGAGAUUCUGGAUCGACAAGGGAAUCCUAAACACAAGAAAUGUUAUGCAGUUGUCAUGUAAACACGCCCAACACUGUGUUGUUGGGAGAAAGGGGGAAAAUGAAGGAAUAAAUAUCAAUUACUCACGAAUUUGUUUUUAAAGGUAAUGCCUCUCUCCAUUUUUUGGUCGUGAGAGGUAAUGCCUCUCUUUGGUGCACAGAGGAAUGCGUUAUAUACAUGGGCUUGCAGCCCGGGCUUCUAUGGGCAGGCCGGGUUAGGUUUUAUGGACUCAAACAAGGCAGGUCAAGCUUUAAACACCCUAAUUCAAGCCGGCCAUUAAAUAACAGGUUGGGCUUUUUCUCAAUGGGUCGGGUGGGCCUCUAUUGGCCCAUGAGCUCGAGGGCUAAAUGGUAAUCCCAAAUUUAAUAUACAUAAGACAUGUGAUUUGAACUCUCCAACUUACUGCAAUGCUUUUUUAAAAUAAAAAUAAAAUAUUUCCACAUGUCUGGUACACCAGCUGGUGUACCCGGAACAUACAAAAAUUUCUCCUAUUUUUUAAGUCUUUAUUCAUAGAUUAUCUUUGCAAAAAAUUAGACAAAUUGAAAACCAUUAAGUGAUCUAAUUGUGACCAACGAAAUAGACUAAUAAUACCGUGCUCCAAGAAAAUACUAAAAUAACAGUCAUCUUUUUGAGAUUCAAGUGAUUUUUUUUUCCAGAGUUAACUUUAAAGAAAUAUCUAAAAACUAGACGAUUCUUAUCACUGAAAAACAAUACAUGUAAAUAGUGCAAUCCACUCACUAAUUUAAGAAGUUGGGCUUGUGCUUGAAUUCUACAUGCUUUAGCUACUCCCGCCACUCCCGCAAGUCACGAAUUUGGGUGAUUCUUAGGCCCACGUUUGAGUCCACACUCUCUUGUCAUGUUGACCAUAAAUAAUUGUUGUUUUCAUAAUAGAACUAGCUGUAAGCAAACAGAUCACGUCACCACUUUUAGAUUUCAAAAGUAUGUUGGGCAAACGUUGAUUCAUUCAUGGUUGAUGUUCCUGAUUUGUCAUUUAUAUUAGUUUUGCGGCUAAAAAUGGAGAAGGGUACAGAAGAGAUGUUGGUAUAUCAUUGGCCUGGACCAACAUUUGCAUAAUUGAACUCAACCCACCUUUAUAUAUGUUCAAAAUUUAAAACUUUUUCUUUUCGAAGUUAGGAUAGGGGAGAGAAUUUCUCUCACACACUGCCAAAGUAUCAUGAAAGUUCAAAUAUAAGACCACUAGUCGGCAAGUAAAAACUUUUUUCUACUGGACUAGACCCCGUUGACAUUCAAAGCCUUUUUAUAGCAUCCUACAAAAUGGCUAUGGUUAAACUCGAAUGUGUAACCCUAACUAACACAACUAGUAAAAGAAGCAUGAUCCUUAAAAAUAUGUAUUAUAAUGGGUGAAGCAAUGAAGGGCCCAGCCAAAAGAGGAUCUGGUUCCUCACUAUUUGUCGUGGAAGAGGCAAAAGGGCCUGUUAGAAUCUGGACCACAGAAAUGAAGUCCAUCUCAAGCAUAUCAAACUCAAUGAAAAAAUACAUAAGAUUAGAUUAGAUUUUUCUUCUGAACAAAAAGAACAGAUUUUCUCAAUUCUCCAAAGUAAAAAGGUUCAAAAAGAAACUAUGAACCCAAAUAACUUUUCAUGAGCUAUAUACAUUUCCUCAAAGAAUUUCUUUCCGCAAUAAUAUGCCUCAAAUCUUCCCCUCUGAUUUAUGGGGUCCAUUAUAUUUUAGACAUGCAUUGGAUCUAAUGAAUUAAGGUCUAGUCAGUGAAAUCAUUGAAAGGGAAUAAAACAUUAGUUGCUCUACAGCCUACUUGAUUCCCUAGUAUUUCUUUUCUUUUUUCAUUGAUACAAGAAAGGUCAAAUGGGAGCUUAGGGUUUAAGUAAAUGUACUCAACUACUGGAUUUGCGAGUAUUUAUCGGUCACUUUUUCUUUAAAUAAAUAAUGAACCCGAAUCAUCAUCUUCUUAUUUAUAAACUUUUUUUUAUAGUCAAAAUGAUCUCAAUUGGUUAAGCUUUUUACCUCUACCUAUGUGGACAGAGAUUACGCUAACAAAACCAUAAGAAAUUUACAAUUCUAUAAGAAUUUAUACAAUUUCAUUUAAAAAUUGAAAAAAGUUGUUCAAGUUGCGAAAGCUAAGUUAUUCAUUUUUUUAUAUAUUAGUGGUCUCAAAUAAUGAUGAACCUAAUGCUUAAUGUGGAGUUAAUUAAAUUCGAAUAAGGUUAAAUUUUCACCACUAUUAGGUGGGAAAAUGAUUUAAGAAUUAUGAAGAAUUCAUAUUUUUAUUAUUUCUUAUAUCUUUAAAAAAAAAAAUCCACCCUUUACUGCAAAAUUACAAGUGAUGGGUCCUGAAUCAAGGCAUUUGGUAUCAUAUGUCAACGUACCCAUAAUUCAAUAGUAAAAGUAUUUGCAUGCAGGUUAGUGGUCCCAACCCCAAGACACAUCUCCUUCUCCCUCAAAUUUUGGAAAAUAUUUUGCUCACAAUUUUAACUCAAGAUGUAUUUUCAUCAUCCUUCUUAAUACUUGACACGUGUCCAUAUAUAUAACUAUGGUCCUCUUUCUUUUGUAUUUGUGGAAUCAUGGUUAUACCUAUAAACACGUGUCAAGUAUUCAGAAGGGUAAUGAUAGUACAUCUCUGAUUAAAGAUGUGAACAAAAAUACUCCCAAACUUUGACAACAACAAAAAAAACAUUUGGUAUCAUGUGGAUAAGAUUUUGUUCCUUUUUUUUUUUCCUUGGACGGGUCUAUUUUGACAACUCUUUUUUCUUUGAUGGAAUGGAAUAAUUAUAAUGUCAUAUCUGCAAAAGAAAAAUAAUUACUCAUUGGACCAAAAAAAAACACUAACACUAAAAUAAAGUCUAAUCUUAUGGAAAACCUUUUUAAAACCACUAAAAUAAAACCUAGGUAAACAGAAAGAAAAAAAAAAUGCACCAAGUUAGACAAUGCCACCUGUCCAACCACCCACCCACUAAACUAAUGAAAGCAAUCAAUCACUGUUAAUGUCCCAUGAACAAUGCAUCCCCCACUUAAAGAAUAAAGCAAGUAAUGCUAAACGACAUGUCGGAUGAGUGGCAAAAUGUGCAAAAGGUUGAAAACCGCGUGACGUGAUAUGAAUGAAUCACGUGCUUCCUUGAAUUUCAAGAGAUACGACACAACAAGACCCACACUCAGACCAAAAAAAAAAAAACAAGACCCACACCUAAAAAUAAAAACCUGAUUGGUGCUGCUCAGUGCUCCACACACUAUGCUUUCAACCCUCUAAAAUCAGUUAUAGGGCCCUCGGGUCUCUCUCCACUCGCUCUUGCGCGCAGCUCACGUGCUCGUAAGUUUGGGGCUACGAUGCCGUAGGCAUUUCCGGUUUGGUUUGAUAGUACAGUUUUAUACGCAAGGUCUCUUUUGUUUUAGUUUAUUUCACCCGAGCGUUGGGGGAUCCAAACACGUUGUUUGUGCUGAGAAAAACUUACAUACUACCGGUUAUAUACACUUUAGUUUCUAUAUUAUAAAUUACGUGAUUUUAUGCUAUAGAAACUUGUUAAAAAUGUUUGUUGCACAUUGAUAAGUUAAGGGAUCUAACUUGAGUUUAUAAGAAAUUGGGCUACUCUUCCCAUUAGGCAUUUUCUAACACAUUUAGUUCUAAACUCAAAUUUCCCCCCUUCAAGAAGUAACUAUUUGGGUUUUGCCCAGACUUAAACCGUUUUUUCCCCAACCCUGCAUACUCAAAUUUUAAGUCCGCAAUUUUAUUAAAUAAUUUAAGUCUAAUUUUUCUUCAUUUAAUCUUUUUAAAUAACUUCAUAAUUUAUUUUUUAAACAAUUUGACCCAAAAAAUUAAAAUUCCAUAAAUAUAAUUUUAUUUGAGAAAUAGGUGGGCAUUUAUAGAGUUUAGAGUGAGUUUUGGGAUUAGAUAAUUUUUUUGAAGGACCUUUCUUAUUGAGAUGAGCGAUAGUAUACUAAACUCACACACACUACACGGAUGGUAGGACUGUCCGUGAGGAUCCCACCGGAGCGCCUUCUACUUCUAAUAGGCCAUGAACUACUCGAACCCAAGACCUUACCUAGGGAAGUAAUUACUCCAAACCACUACACUAACCCUAAACUUAUGUGCAAUAAGAUAAGUUAAAUUGAGUUGUUUGAAAAUGGAUUUCGUGCCUCUAUGUUUAAAGGUUGUGCAUUUACAUGCAUUUUGCAACAUCUAGUCCAUUCAAAUAAUCUAACGGUUUAAAACAUGACAUCAUCAACAUAAAUGUUUAACAUUAUAUAAUAGUAGCCUCUCUGCACGCGCUUCUGCGCCUGUGAGAGGCUUUUUUUGAAAAAAAUUAAAAUUUAUUUAGAAUUAAAAAAGAUAAUGGGUAGUUGUGUUCCAUAAAAAUAGGAUCCAUUAUCUGAUUUUUCUUUUAAUUUUAAUUUUUUUAAAUAUGAAAAAGUAUGAAUUUACCAUAUUAUCCUCAUUUAAUUAAUAACUAGCCUCUCCGCACACGUGUGAAUUUACCAUAUUAUCAUCAUUUAAUUAAUAAUUUUAAUUCUUAAUGCUUGGAUUAACUAAGGGCAUUUUAUGGUAUUUUGAAUGUUUCACCAUUCUCUGCCUUUUGCUUUACGAGUAAUGCUACACUUACCACAUUUGUAUAUCACAUUCUCAUACCACCUUAUGUGGCAGAUGAAGUGGACAACCACAUCAAUUAAAAAGUGUCAAUAAAUCAUAAAAGAAAAGAAAAUGUUAAAUUAAUUUAAUUGAUGUGGUUGUCCACCUCAUCUGCCAUAUAAGGUGGUAUGAGAAUGUGGUAUACAAAAUGUGGUAAGAGUAGCAUUAUUCUUUGCGCUUUAUAUAUAUAUAUAUAUAUAUAUUUCAAUUCUUAAUGUUUGCAUUAACCAAAGGCAUUUUCUGGUAUUUUGAAUGUUUUACCAUUCUCUGCCUUUUACUUUAUAUAUAUAGAUGUUUUAAAUUAAAAACUGUUUAAAAUUAACACUUGUUUAAUUGUUAAAGUAAAAAUAAUAAAUACUAAAAACCCAUUGUUUUCCGGCAAAACGUGAAGCAAGGGGUAGGGGGCUGUGAGGUAUCGGGUAGGAGGAAGUCAGUCAACAAAACAUUUUACAUAUCAUCACAGCCAUUGAUGUGGUGAAAUUGCUUGAAUUUUCCUUCAUAUCUAUAUAUGCAAAUGGGCUUGAGAAGCCAUUAAUUGAACUCAUGAUUUUCCUCCAACUUUGUUUAUGCAGAAGCAUAUCCUCCACAAUAUAAUUUAGGUGAAAAAUGGCACAAUUUUGGAAGGCGUUGGGGUGGGAAGGGAUGGAGUGAGAUAGAGAGAUGGCAUUGAGAUGGCAUUUGAUAUGGCGGCUUAGGUGGUGUUGGGGUGGUUAAGGAUGGUCAUGGCGGGGAUGGGGUGGGGCAGGGGAGUCCACUUCCUGGAAUUUUUCACUCUGGAUUUUUUUGAUUUUUUAAAUCUCAUUUUUUUAAUUUUAAAUUCUAUUUUCUAUUUUUGAAGUUAUUAAAUUUUAUUUUAAAUUUUGUUAAAAUUUAUUAAUAUGUCAUAUCGUAAACCGUUAAAUUAUUCAAAUAGACUAGAUGUUACGAAAUUACGAAUAAAUGCAUAACCUCUAAAUAUAGAGGCUUGGAAUCUGUUCUAAGACCAGGACUGCAAGUUUGCAACCACCACCCUACUUAUCAUAGUCCCAUAACUUCAUGCAUGCAUGCAUUAUGGUAACUUAUGACCCAAAUCAGCAAGAAAGUGAGCUGCAAAGUCAGCUUUACAAAAUACACGACCAAAGCAGCAUGCUCCUUACUUGCUUACAACUUGAAUUUUUUGUUUUGUAAUCCAAAACAAAGCAGCAUGCUAACUCUUUUUUUUUUUUUUUUUUUCUUUUCUUAGUGAUUAAGCUCAAUUACCGUAUAAAGUUAUCAUAUCAAUCUUUUUAGGAUUAUAUUUUGAGAUAUUUAGUGAUAUACCCAUUUCUAGCACUAAUAUUAUAAAUAAACCCUACACAAUUGAAUUCCUAUAAACAAACCCAAAAAAAACCCAAAAAAUGAUAGCUGGCCUUAUUGAAUUUAAUAUUAAUUAUUAAAUUACUUUGAUGCCCUAUUGAGUGCUUUGGGUAUUUUUAUGAGAUUUUGGGGUUGGGCUUGUUUUAAGAAAUUGAUGGCAGUUUUGUAAUUUAUAAGAAGUUAAAAGCUUUUUUGUUAUGUUGUAAAUGGACUUUGGGUGUGUUUCUAAAGUCCAUUUUAUAUAGGGUAUUUUUAUAAUUUUGGCCCCCAUAUUGGGUAUAAUAGUGAAUCUCCCUUAUAUUUUCCGUAACUUGCUUUGGCUUACUUUUCAAAUGUAACAUAGUCAUGUGAAAUGAAAUACAACAAUUUUAUUAUUGAAAGCUAAAACGAAUACAUAGGGCUGGCCAUAAAAAACCGAAGACAUUGAUUUUUUUUUUUAAUUUGAUCGAAAAUAAUUAAAUUUCAUUAACCAAAAUCAUUGGUUACAAUAAGGUCAUCAAGAAUACAAUUCAUUAGCAACAUAGGGUCUUCUUCUAGCCAAUAAUAAGGACCUUAUUCAUGUAAAGCAAAACGAGAAAUAGCAUAAAUCACUUUGUUACACUCCCUAGGACGAAAUUGGACUUCCUUUAAAGAAAACCGCAUGAGCAAGUCUCUCACAUCAUCCACAAUGUUGCAGAUAGUAGCCCAAACAGUCUCCCAUGAAUUAAUCAUCAUAACAGUCUUAAAAGAGUCAGUUUCUAUGAGGAAAGGGAAAAAAACCAGCAACUGCAGCAAAUAAAACUCCUCUAUAGAUAAAUUACAAUUUUGUAGCUAGAAUGGAAACCCUACGAGGGCUUUGCAUGGCUAGGGCACCCAUAAAAACUCCAGAAUCAUUACGAACAACUGCACCUACACUACGCAAGCCUGUUGCAUUGUCAGUAGCUCCAUCAACAUUGAGCUUAUAGAAACCUUCAGGGGGACAACUCCAAAUCUCAUUCUAAUUAACCCUACAAGCACGAACAACGCCUCUAUCAAUAUAUUUCUUACUUAUAAUAUUAUGAAGCGAAAGCCCAUAAAUAUAUGAAGCCGAAGUAUCAACCUAAUAUAAAGCCAACAUUGCAAUCACCAUUCUAAUUUCUAAAUUGCUGACAUGAGCAUCUACAAUAGUCUUUUUAAAGGCUUUUAAAUAAUAGAUAUUUAGUUAUAUACUAAUUCUUAGCACUAAUGAUAUAGGUAAAUCCUACACCAUUUAAUUUAUAUAAACAACCCAAAAAAAAAACUCAAAAAAUGACAGAUAACCCUAUUGAAUUUAAUUUUAAUUAUUAAAUUACUUUGAUGCUCUAUUGAGUGUUUUGGUUUUAUUUUUUUUAAUGAGGUUUUGAGGUUGGACUUGUAAUUUAUAGGAAGUUCGAAGCCUCUUUGUUAUGUUGUAAAUGAGCUUUGGGUGUGUUUCUAAAAUUACAUUUCAUGUAUAAUUUUUUUAUUAUAUAAUUUGGGCCUCUAUAUUAAAUAUAAUAAUGAAUCUUCAUUUGAAUAAUUGAUUUGGUGAGUCACCUAGGCAAAAAAAAGUUUCGAUAGAAGUUCAAGUCUAUGACCACCUUCUCAGUCUACAAAUUUUUGGUCACCACUUUCUAACUCUUCAACUUAGCUUUCUAUAUUAAAAAAAUUAAACAUAUUGUUAUGGGAGAAGAUAGAGAACUAUGAAGAGUUCUUUGGAAGGCAAACUUUUUAAAGUAAUUAACGAACUUUAUUCUUCAAAUUUCCACAUAAAUCAAUAAAAUACAAUUUUGAAAAAUGAAAUUUGUUUCUUCUCUUGAUGCUACAUUCAACAUUCAUAUAAAUAACAAACUAAUAAUCAGAUUAUAUUAAAAGUUAAUGUGUGUGAUAAAGAAUAAUAAUAAAUGGUGAUAACCAAUAAUAAAAUAUCAAGUAGAAAAAAAUAAUGAAAUUAAUAUAGGUCGUUUGAUUCGGGUUUUUUUUUUAAAUAAACCAAACCAAACCACACCACUCAAAUAAAUCUAAUUUGACCUAUUUAUAAAGUUAGCAAAUAAAUUAAGAAAAAAGUUAAAAUGAAGACAUUCACCAAAUAAUAUGAAAGAAUACUUGUAUAAAAUUAGAUAUUUUAUUCUUUUAUAUUAUUUGGUGAAAUUGGGCCCAAGCCCAAUUGUUCUUUUAUUUAUUUUUAUAGAAAUUUUGAGAUUACAUUCAUAAUGUUGGGAUUAAAAUUUUGAUAUAAAUAAAUAAAUAUAUAUAUUUUACUUUAACGUUUGCUUCCAAUUUAUUAUAACUUAUAAUUAUAGUUUUCUUAGAGAUUCUUUUAUUUUUAUAUAACCAGUGUGAAAUUAUUAUUAUGUAAACGUGUUGUCAUUUGUCUUUAUUGAAUUUUUUCAUGCGUUUGACAGCAAAAUAAUAAUAACAAUAGUAAUGUAAAGGACUCACUAGUGUAGUAGUUUGGGGCAAUUGUUUUCCCAAGAAAGGUCCUGGAUUUUAGUCCUAUCUUGUGUGUGAGCAGUGGUGGAGCCAGGAUUUCACAUUAGAGGGGCCCCUUCACAAAAUUUUAAAAAGUAAUCCAAAUAGGAGAGUUCAAGCGCUAACCGAUUAAUAAGUUAAUGCGAUACUAACUACUCGGUUUAGCCCGCAUCAUAAUAUCAUUUCAUAUUGGUUAAUAAUUUAUCGAUUCAUUACAAUCAUAAUUGUCUUGAAUUUCAUAUUUUAACAUUGUUGAAUAUUAAUCUCAUCGUCUACACUAUUAAAGGUUCAAAAGUUAAUAAUUUAUAUUCCAACAGAGAGAAGAAGUACAAAAAAAGUUCAUAAAUCCCAAUAUUACGGUACCCUACUUAGACAUAUAAAAAAGGAGGGAAAAAAAUUCACAAAGCUUAAGUUAAACAAAAGCGGAAAAGAAAGAGAAAAAAGAAUUAGGAGUUUUUAGUGCAAAUAUCAUAACUCUAACCUAGAAGUUUUAAGGGAAAGUAGAAGAGUGAUUAGUAACUUUUAUGGUUAAUUUGUAGACAAAAAUAACAUAAUAUUUUAUUUAUUUUAGAGUAAAUAUCCCAAAAAUAAUCUAAUAUAUUAUAAUAUUAUAUAUCAUAUAUAAGGAAACUUUUUUGAACCAUUGGAUGUUACAUCCAACGGUGGGUGACCACAGUCUCUUGGACCCCUGUGGUCCAAGAGAUCGGGGAUGUCUGUAUAUAUAAAGCAAAAGGCAAAGAAUGGUAAAACAUUCAAAAUAUCAGAAAAUGUUCUUGGUUAAUACAAACAUUAAUAAUUGAAAUUAUUAAUUAAAUGAGAAUAAUAUGGUAAAUUAGCACAUUUUCAUAUUAAAAAUUAAAAUUAAAAGAAAACUUAAAUAAUAAAUACUAUUUUUAUGAAACACAACAACCAUUAUCUUUUUUUAUAGUCGUGCAAGUUUACUUAAGAUUUAUAAACAACAUUAUCCUAGUAGAAGCGCUCUUGCCAACAAGUGAUCCAAUAUUUUGAGAAACGUAAAUAGAGAUUAUUAUAAAUUAAAUUAAGAGAAAAUGACUAAGUUGAUCCUUCUAUCUUGGGUAUUUUUCCGCUAGGUCCCAUAACUAGAGAGGUGGCAUAAGGGCGGAUAUACACUUGAGUUAGUGGGCUUCAGAUUUUUGUGUGUGUGUAGUUUUAGUUGUUUAAGCUAAAUAUAGGUAAAGUAAAUAAUAGUCUAGCCCUUUAUUUAAAAUAAGCUAAGCUCUUUAUGUAGAAAUAAGCCCACUCUGGAAGCAUAUAGGAAAUAGUAAACAUGCAAUCCAUAACCUAUAUAAAUUUGAUUAGAAGCAAACAUCAGAAUUUUUCUUCUAGCCACCCAAAACAUCAUAUUUGAACCUUCAGAGCCUAGAAUAAAUAGCUCUCUCCCUCUGAAAAAUUGUACCAACCUAUUUUAAGUGGGUUCGCCAAUCUUGAUAAGUUUUUCUUUUUAUUUAUUUAUUCAAUUUCCAAUUUGAAUUGUUGUUGUUAAGUUUUUAUGAUUUAGGGUUUAUGUGAAAAUUUUUGGGGAUUGUUAUAUAUGUUUUAUUUUUGCAACUUAAAUUAUUAAUUAGUAUAUAUGAUUUUUGGUGUCUAGUAUUUCUUGUUAGGAUAUCAUGUCACAUGAUUAUAAUAGACCAACAAAGAGAGGAAAAACUAUUCUUCAAAAAAAGGGGUAACGAUAACAAGGAUAUACAUACACCUUCUGCAUAUAAUGUUGAUACUUCAAUUCCUGAGAAACUUUCUCAACUCGGAUCUCAAGUAGUUGAACAAUGUGUUUGAUUUGAUAUUUGUUUAUAUUUGGUAUUUCUUUGUGUGAUAUUUGCUCGUAAUGUGACCUUCUUUGAUUUAUAAAAUUUAUUCACAUUUUUGUUUCAAGAGGAAAAAUAAAAAAAGGCUUAUAAUAUAUCUCCUGUAAAAAUAAAAAUAAAAAAUAGCUUAGUCCUAUAAAAAUUCCUGGAUUCGCCAUUGGUAGCACAUCAAACCAAAAACCAAGAUCCUCCUAACUAAGACCAUAACAUGCAAUACGAUCGACAACUCCAUUAGCAGUCCGAGAAACAUGGUGAACAGAAUAAGACGACACUGAGUUGAAAAGACGACGAAUAUCCUUCACUAAACCCCCUUUUGCAGCAAAACAAACAUCGUACUUACUUCUAGUUGUAGAUUAAGUAAACUAAAAAUCUCUAAUUAUCAAAAUUGAAACUAUAUAUAGGUCUUCAAGUGAAAAAUCAAGCAAAUUCUAAGGACCCGAAAUGUAAGUUGGACCUAUUUUAAUGUUUUAAUGUACAUUGUACGAAGUUGUGUACAUCAUCGUUGUCGUGUACGCUAUACACGGCUGCUAUAGAACGAGGCGGAUGAAAUGAAAGUAGGCGUGACAAAUGUGACGACAAUUAUUAGAGGCAUGAACGAAUCUGCCGUCCACAAAUAAUCGAAAUACAAUAAAAUAAAAUAGUAAGAGCAAGACACGAUUGGCUUGUUUAAGGCUGAACAAAAGCAAACCCUACAGCUUUCCCCACUUGCUUAAAUUGUUUUCACGUUUAUUUCCUGCGACUUUUUUGUCCUCCUCCUCAUGGGACCCUGAAAAACUGACAUCCCAUUAUGUGCAUGAACAUUUCUAUUUUUAUUUUUAUUUUUAAAUUGGUGAAAGCGAUUUUGGUCAUAGAGCAUUAAAAAUCUUUACAUGGAUUGGAGAUUGUAAAGGUUCAAUAUCUUUAAUGUACCGAAAAGAAAGUCGACAUAGUAGAAAAUAAUAAUAACUGAUUAUAAAUAAAAUUAGAAAUUACGAUGUCAAGUGUUGAAAAAAAAGAUAGCGAUUUUUAUGCUCUAAGUUUAGUAUGUGUACGUAGAAAAAUGACAAAAUAUUUAGUUUGGAGUGCAAAGGUUAAGCUGAUAGUGCCAAAAUCGUUACCCGAAAAAUCACUUUGGCUUGGUCAUAUUCAUACUAGUCUGCUAACACAAAGAAUGAGAAUUCUUACUUGAAUUUUCUUUGGCUCAUUGAUGGCUUGACUAUUCCCUUGAAUUUUCUUUUACCCCAAAAAUGAAAUAUGAAGUAAUUAUUCUUAUUAUUAUUAUUAUUAUUAUUAUUUUGAGGUUAUUUCCUAUUGAAAGGGGCGAUAGACUAAGAUUCGAACCCAGGACUUUGCCUGAGGGAGUAAAAUUCCAAAUCACUACACUAAUGGGUCAUUUGCAAUAUGAAGUAAUUUUUAUAGAGGAAGAAGGAGGGGUUUUUCUGAAAAGGGUGGUGGUGGUGACUCUGGAUUGAAGGAAGGGGUGUGGCUGGAGAUGGUGCUUAAGGGUAUGGGCCGAGGAAGGGGUGCAACUGGGGAUGGUUGCUAGAUAGGGGUCGGAUUCCUCAUGGACUGGUAGCUUUCAAAGAAGAUGAUAGGGGCAUCGUCAUCGUGGUUGGUGAUGUCGCUCGAUAGGGUCUUGAAGAUGUGUUGGGUUGAAGCUGAAACGAGGUUAUUGUUUUGUCUCUUUAAUUGUGUUUCUUCCUUCUCAUUAUUUGGUGUUUCAAAUUUUUAAUUAAGAUUUUUAAUCUUAUCUCUUAAUUUUGAAUGUAAUUUUUAACUUUAUCGUAACAACGAAAUCAUAUCAUCACUAGCCACCAGGUUCAUAUGUCACAUCAUCUUUUGAUGAUCAUUUUUAACAAUAAAUUAUCACUAUUUCGUAAACGUGCCGACACUAAAAUAUUCAAAUUGAAAAACACGAUUUAACCAUGCUAUUUGAUGAAAGAUUCAAUGUACUAAGCUGAAAUUAACCUUGUAAUAUAUUACUUCUUUUUUCACUUUCCUCUUUCUGCUGAAUAUUGAAAGAUAUACAAGACCAGCCUUGGUGGAAAACCAUGUCCUCAUUCAUGGACCCUCAUAGAAAUCAUUAUCUUUUCGUAAAGUGUGGUGCAAGCGAUAGUGACAACAUCCACAUUCGCACCAUGUGAUUAUCUAACGAAUCUAUUUUUCUAACAGGAGUGAGUGAAAUCAGUUGGUCAAAUUAGUGUGUUGAUUUUUUGCAUUUUAGUUCGAUUCUGCGUUCUGUACGUUAGACUAAAAUAUCACUUUAUAAAAAAUAAAAAUAAAACCCACCAAGUGAAGAAGCAAAGCUACGCACCUGAGGGUUCUUUUUUCCUCUUUUGUUUGGUUCAACCUGAGGGUCACCUUCUGGAAGCAGGACAAGCUUUUGUUUACAACUAUUAGCUUCUGUACUUUGUGAUUUUUGUUUUGCAAUUGAUUCUUGCUCAAUAAAAUAUUUGUAUUAUUAAAAAAAAUGCAAAAAGAAAAGAAAAAGAAAAAGAUUCCUGAACAAAAAAAAACAAAACAAUCUCUUAGCAGAAGAAACAAAAAGGGGAUAAAAUAAUAAUGGAUUCAAAAAUUAGACGACAAAAGAACAAACAAAUUUGAGAGAUUAAAACAGAUUAGCUUGUAUUGCAAUGGGAAGAGAACGACGUCGUAGUGGACUCUCAGUGGACCCCGUUGAAAAUGUUGGCGUUCGUGACGAUAAGGUUCAUGGGUUUUAACGAAAAAAAAAAACAAAGGAUAAGAUAAGUAUUUUUUUUUUUUUAAAGAUGGGGAGGAUUUUUCACAUGGGAAGGAGGAAUGUUACACGUGCCUAACAAAACAAAAAUAAAAAAGAAAAAAAAGAAAAAAAAGAAGGGAAACGUGCUUUUACGACACGCAUCAAGCAAAACGUGUUUUUAAAUAUUUAAACCGUGUAUUAUUAUACGCGAGCAAAUUGUAAUAAAUUAAUGAUUAUCUGGUGUGGGAAUUUUGAAAACGAGGGAAAGGACGAAUGGGGGGCGACCAGAUCAAGGGCCAGGAUUCGAUCUGUGAAGCCAACGCGUCCCCACCCUUUUUGUCUUUUAUGUUUUAUAUUCCGUCGUUGAGUCGUUGAGUCGUUGUCCGCUACUCGAUUCAAAGUAAUUAACCUGAGAGGAAAACAGGAGCUUCAGAUGGAUUGCCGAUUAGUUCGAUGGCGUGCGCCGAGGAUUUGGAUUUUCACUGCUGCUGCCGAGAGGCGGCUACUUCGUGGAAGCUAACUGUAGAAAGGUGAUGAUUAAACUCCCGAACAAUGGAUUUUAGAACAGUUUUUGCAUCUCAACUGUUGUUUACUAAUCUUCGUAUUGGAAAUGUCACCAUUGCGACAGCUCAUUGCUUAAGUCACAAUUUAGAAGUAAUAUCUUUAGAAAAAUAAUUAGAGAUCGUUUAAUAAUGCAUGUGUGUG
rnacentral:lncRNA from 1 species